UCCCGGUGAUCUAGCUGUAUGUGCUCCACCUUUUCCCAUUCCGAACAGAGAAGUGAAAGCAUACAGCUCCGAUGAUACUUAUCCCUUCGGGGAUCGGGAAAGUAGGAUUCGCCGGGAU
rnacentral:rRNA from 2 species